CCCUGUUGUUAUCUUAAAUAGCGAAGCAAAUCUGCUGGUAGAAGGUGGCGCCAUUAUUCUUGUCAGCCUCUCUCUCUCUGACAGACGCCAUUAACGCGCACAGAGCCAUCAGUUGAAUAAUCGCAGAGCAGUCUCCGUCGCCACCGCUGGCUAUCCACCACCUCUCGCUGACUCUCAGAUUGACAAUAGAGCUGGAUCUGGUGCUUGCAUUUUGAGAUAUUUCGUGGGUAUACAUUGAGGACUGCGGAACUGGAGGUCUUAAGGACAUUUAACGGGAAAUCGAGCAUGAAGCAAGCUAAAGUUAAGCGCCUUGUGGGUAAAUAUGAAGUUGGGAGGACGAUUGGUGAAGGAACAUUUGCUAAAGUGAAAUUCGCUAGAAAUACUGAGACUGGAGAACCUGUGGCCCUUAAGAUUCUGGACAAGGAGAAGGUCCUCAAACACAAGAUGGCAGAACAGAUUAAGCGAGAGGUAGCAACAAUGAAGUUAAUAAGGCAUCCAAACGUGGUCCGCUUGUAUGAGGUAAUGGGCAGCAAGACAAAGAUAUUUAUUGUUUUGGAGUUUGUUACUGGCGGAGAGCUCUUUGAUAAGAUUGUAAAUAAUGGAAGAAUGAGGGAGGAUGAAGCAAGGAGGUAUUUCCAGCAGCUAAUUAAUGCUGUGGACUAUUGUCAUAGUCGUGGUGUUUACCAUAGAGAUUUGAAGCCAGAGAAUUUGCUAUUGGAUUCUUGCGGGAAUUUAAAAGUUUCUGACUUUGGAUUGAGUGCAUUGUCACAACAAGUCAGGGAUGAUGGCCUUCUUCACACAUCUUGCGGAACUCCAAAUUAUGUUGCUCCUGAGGUCCUUAAUGAUAGAGGCUACGAUGGGGCAACUGCAGACCUGUGGUCAUGUGGAGUAAUACUAUUUGUAUUGCUUGCAGGGUACUUGCCUUUCGAUGAUUCUAAUCUUAUGAACCUGUAUAACAAAAUUUCUGCAGCGGAAUUUGCUUGCCCACCAUGGCUUUCUUAUGGUGCAAUAAAAUUGAUAACUCGGAUAUUGGAUCCGAAUCCAAUGACACGUGUCACAAUUCCUGAAAUCUUAGAAGAUGAAUGGUUUAGGACAGAUUAUAAACCUCCUGUGUUUGACGAGGAAGAGGAUACAAAUCUGGAUGAUGUCGAAGCUGUUUUUAAGGAUUCAGAAGAGCACCACGUAACAGAAAAGAAAGAGGAGAAACCUACGCCUAUGAAUGCCUUUGACUUGAUAUCCAUGUCAAAGGGGCUAAACCUUGGGAAUUUGUUCGACGUUGAGCAGGUGGGUGUGCCAAAAGGGAUUCAAAAGGGAAACUCGGUUUACAUCUAAACGCCCAGCAAAUGAAAUAAUACAUAAGAUUGAAGAAGCUGCAAAGCCCCUUGGUUUUGACGUUCACAAGAAAAACUACAAGAUGCGUCUUGAAAAUAUGAAAGCUGGGAGGAAGGGAAAUCUCAAUGUUGCAACAGAGGUAUUCCAAGUGGCCCCAUCACUUCACAUGGUCGAGGUCCGAAAAGCAAAAGGAGACACUUUGGAGUUCCAUAAGUUCUACAAAAAUCUCUCGAACUCCCUCGACGAUAUUGUCUGGAAAACUGAGGAAGAAAUGCAAGAAGUGAAGUAAACUUGCGGUCAGGUGUCUCCGAUAUGAAUUUACAUCUAUGUACUGUCUUCUCUCCCGUCUUGUUGUCAGGUGUCAGACCAUUUUCCUCUUCAAAGUGAGGUGUGCCAUCAUCUAUUGGUCUCGAUGGCAUCAUCGUCUGAUAGCAUAGCUCUGUAGUUGGCAUACAAUUGAAAAAUCAACUUUCACCUAAGCCCGUGAUGUUGAGAAAAGUCAUAUGAGAAAUGUGUUCAUUCUUUCUA